rnacentral:rRNA from 1 species
CGGACGGGUGAGUAAUGCUUGGGAAUCUGGCUUAUGGAGGGGGAUAACUACGGGAAACUGUAGCUAAUACCGCGUAGUAUCGGAAGAUGAAAGUGCGGGACCGUAAGGCCGCAUGCCAUGGGAUGAGCCCAAGUGGGAUUAGGUAGUUGGUGGGGUAAAGGCCUACCAAGCCUGCGAUCUCUAGCUGGUCUGAGAGGAUGGCCAGCCACACUGGAACUAAGACACGGUCCAG